AGAACGAACGCUGGCGGCGUGCUUAACACAUGCAAGUCGAACGAGAAAUCUUCAGCUUGCUGAAGAGAGUAAAGUGGCGCACGGGUGAGUAACGCGUGGGUAAUCUACCCUUGAAUCGGGGAUAACAUUGCGAAAGCGAUGCUAAUACCGGAUAACAUCAUAAAAGCUUCGGCUUUAAUGAUCAAAGAUGACCUCUAUAUAUAAGUUGUUGUUUGAGGAGGAGCCCGCGUACCAUUAGCUUGUUGGUAGGGUAAAGGCCUACCAAGGCCACGAUGGUUAGCUGGUCUGAGAGGAUGAUCAGCCACACUGGAACUGACACACGGUCCAGACUCCUACGGGAGGCAGCAGUGAGGAAUUUUGCGCAAUGGGGGAAACCCUGACGCAGCAACGCCGCGUGAGUGAUGAAGGCUUUAGGGUCGUAAAGCUCUGUCAAGUGGGAAGAACCUAUCCGAAAAUAAUACGUUUGGAUAUUGACGGUACCACUGAAGGAAGCACCGGCUAACUCCGUGCCAGCAGCCGCGGUAAUACGGGGGGUGCAAGCGUUAUUCGGAAUCAUUGGGCGUAAAGGGCACGCAGGCGGCCUGGUAAGUCAGAUGUGAAAGCCCGGGGCUUAACCCCGGAAGUGCAUUUGAAACUAUCAGGCUUGAGUAUGGGAGAGGGAAGUGGAAUUCCUGGUGUAGAGGUGAAAUUCGUAGAUAUCAGGAGGAACACCGGUGGCGAAGGCGACUUCCUGGACCAAUACUGACGCUGAGGUGCGAAGGCGUGGGGAGCAAA
rnacentral:rRNA from 1 species